rnacentral:rRNA from 1 species
ACAUACGACCACAGGGUGUGGAAAAUAGGGCUUCCCGUCCGCUCAGCCGUACUCAAGCCACACGCCGGGAGGUUAGUAGUUGGGUGGGUG